rnacentral:snoRNA from 1 species
UCCUGUCCCCUGUAAGCAGCUGUCAAAAGAGAGCCCAGAGCUGACUUCUCCUGGACUGUUACUUUUUGUUACCUAUAACUGAUCUAUGGUAUUUCAGGGAAAGACAGAU